rnacentral:rRNA from 1 species
CGGCCGCGUCGACGAAGACUGAACCAGCCAUGCCGCGUGCAGGAAGAAUGCCCUAUGGGUUGUAAACUGCUUUUAUAUGGGAAGAAUAAGGAGUACGUGUACUUUGAUGACGGUACCAUAUGAAUAAGCAUCGGCUAACUCCGUGCCAGCAGCCGCGGUAAUACGGAGGAUGCGAGCGUUAUUCGGAAUCAUUGGGUUUAAAGGGUCUGUAGGCGGGCUAUUAAGUCAGGGGUGAAAGGUUUCAGCUUAACUGAGAAAUUGCCUUUGAUACUGGUAGUCUUGAAUAUCUGUGAAGUUCUUGGAAUGUGUAGUGUAGCGGUGAAAUGCUUAGAUAUUAUACAGAACACCGAUUGCGGAGGCAGGGGACUAACAGACGAUUGACGCUGAGAGACGAAAGCGUGGGGAGCGAACAGGAUUAGAUACCCUGGUAGUCCACGCUGUAAACGAUGGAUACUAGCUGUUUGGAGUAAUUUGAGUGGCUAAGCGAAAGUGAUAAGUAUCCCACCUGGGGAGUACGUACGCAAGUGUGAAACC